rnacentral:lncRNA from 1 species
UGAGUGUAGAUCUGAUGAAGAGGGUGGAAGUGAGGAUGUUUUUGUGGUGGUUCACAUGGAUGUUGUUUAAGUGGUUAUGGAGGGAAUAAGGAAGUCGUGGAGCAGGAGCAAUGGUGGGUAGUAUGUAAGAAAUCUUCCACCGACGAAUAGAUAGUGGUGGUUGUAAUGUUGUUUUGUGGUUUCACUGUUGUGGAGUGAGUUAUGAAGGAGAUGGCAAGAGUGAGGUUUUGGAUAUUUAAGGUGGUAAGGAGGUUGUUUGGAAAAG